rnacentral:rRNA from 1 species
CCUACGGGAGGCAGCAGUGGGGAAUUUUGGACAAUGGGGGCAACCCUGAUCCAGCCAUGCCGCGUGAGUGAAGAAGGCCUUCGGGUUGUAAAGCUCUUUCAGCCGGGAAGAAAUUGCACGCUCUAACAUAGCGUGUGGAUGACGGUACCGGACCAAGAACGCACCGGCUAACUACGUGCC